rnacentral:tRNA from 1 species
GCUCGGGUAGCAAAGCAGCCAUGCGCUCGCCUGCAGAGCGAGUCACGAGGGUGCGAAUCCCUCCCCGAGCU